GUUGAAUUAUACACAAUUUUUGUGAAAGAUAGUGUAUCAAUCAUCUUUUGCUGAGUUUUACUGCAAUCACACAUGAUCCUCAAAUUUCAGUGUCUUACAAGAGCAGAAGCUAAUAUUUUGCCCAUUUUAUAUGUUGGCCAUAGGCCACUUGUGGCGCUCUCCCUCAUGCUCUUCACUUUGGGAUCCAAGUUGAUAGAAAAGCCUCAUCUGAGGACCUAAUGAGCCUUGUGUCAGAGGAAAAAGAAAGAGGUGGUGGAUCGUCACAAUGGCUCUCAAAGCUUCUGCAUAUGUCACUCCCACCGCCAUGUCAUUUGCCAAAGUAAAUCACACGGCAAGUGUGAUAGGAAUGUAAAGUCCUCCUACAUGAAAACACAGUGAAUAUUUUGAAAAAUAAUACAAUCUACCAAACAGAAUAUGAGCUAUAACUGUUUAAAUCUUUGUUCUCUGCUGGAAGACUAAAAUGCCAGCUUGAUCCUUGCCUCGCCAGCCUUUCUCGUAACUUGUAGCUUUAUCCUUGUGACAACAAAACAGGAAAGCCAAGAAGCAAGACUUGUGGGGAAAAUCUUUUGUUGGCCUUCAAAAAGUACCCAAAGGACCAUCUCCUCCAGGAAGCCUUCCUGGAUUAGUCCAAGAGUCUCCCACUUACCAGUUCUUUUUAUGACAGUCCCCUUCCACUGACCUUACUCCAUCAAUGAGCACUUCCCUUUGUGGUAAUAUAAAACAGUGAUGAAAACAUGCUUUACUGCUUGUUUCUCCUAUUGGAUUAAAAGUUAUCUAAGAGCAGAGAUUGCUAUGCACCACGGUAAAGUUAUUGCCUAACAGUGAAGUUCCUUAAAAUUGUACCAAACCCUGACUUGGUUAUUCUAUUCACUUUUCAGAUGAGAAAAUAAUUUGCUUUCAAGAUCUUUCACCACUUAGCUUUUUCUUUCUCAAGAUGUAGAGUAAAGCAUAGGCAAUGUUCAUUCAUUCAUUCAUCCGUUCAACAAACAUUGCCUGCCUGUUAUAUUCCACAUGCUAAGCCAGGCGCUGACUUGUGGCACCAGAUUCUCACAGUUCCUUCUCUCCUGGACCUUACCUUUUAGUGGGAGUGACCCAGACAAAUCACAUAGUCACACAGUUAUAAACUGUGAUAAAGACUAGGAGAAAAACUUAAAGGGUACUCUAAGAACAUAUAGGAGACCUGACUUACUUUGUGUCUCUGUGAAGUCUUCGCUGAGGAAAUGACAGUUGAGCUGAGAUCUGAGUUAACUAUAUAAAGAAUGAAGGCAAAACAGUUCAAAGAAGAUGCAAAGGCAUGUGCAAAGGCCCUGAGGUGGAAGGAGGGAAAGAAAGGCCGGUUGUGAGGGAGUAUACAAAGCAAAGCAGUGAAUGAUGUGAAAAGCAAGUAGGGUCUUGUAUGCCAUGUUAAGGGUUUGGGUCUUUACUCACUGAAGGGUCUUUAGGAGGCAGGAACAUGACAAAAUUUGAAUUUUCAGAUGUUACUCUGGUUGGCAUGUGAAAUGGAUUGGAGAGUGGCAAAUGGAUGGCAGGAUAUCAACAUAAAGUCUUCUGCAGUAGUAAAGAUAGGAAUUUCUGCUCAGUGCAAAAUUGGCAUCUAACAGUUGGAUGACACAUGACUGAUAUUCUGGAUCUCUUGGUUAUAACAUUUAAUUUAAAAAAAACUAGACUGCAAUCUAGCAGAAAAACAUUUAAGUUGGCUCAUAGUUCUUGGUUUACAACACUAUUCAAAAUAUACCUCUGAGCUAAAUAAUCCCAACUAUAUCAAAAGAAUGGGUCAAUGACCUUCUAAUACUUUCAAAGGAUGGGCUUCAGGGAAUCGAUGAAGCUCCUGAAAUUCCAUUACAAUUGUGUGUGCUUAUGCUUCUAUGUUUUUCUAGGGCGAGAAUCCAUGAAUUCCAUCAGAUUCAUUACUCCCAAGUGCUAAGAACCACUGGUUUCCAUUAUCACGUGACCAACCCAUAGUUACCCCAUCACCAGAAUGCAGUCCUGGGUAAUAAGUCUUGAAUUAAUGGAAAAGCUUACUGACUGCCAAAGGUUCAAGCUCCUCUUCCUAAGUGCAAAGUGCUUGCUGGGAAGUGGCUGCCCAGCCAGAGACUGUAUUUCCUAGUCUCCUUACAUCUAUGAGUGAGGCAGCACGUGACUACUUCUGACCAAUAGAAUGUAUGUAGACAUUUUGAUUGGUACUUGUGUGUGAAGUUGGGUACGUGUCUGAUAUAUGUUUUCCAAAAUGUUCCCACCUUCUCUAUUGACCUUGGAGGCCGUGUUUUGAAACUGGCAGCAUCACAAGAUGGAAGAAUCUGUGAUUACUGAAUCAUGGAGACAGUCAGGAGAGCUGUCCAACUGAACACCUGCAUUGGAUUUUGUUCCCAAGAAGAUGGACACUCUAAGCCACCCAGGGCCACAUGGAGAAGCACCAGGGUUGGUAAGGAGGCAGAAGGAGUGAAGAGAAAGCAUGGGCAAUGCCUUUAUUUUGGUUUUCAUGGAAAGAAUGGGCCAGGCAGGGUAGACAGCUGAACAGGCUUAUGAUUGGAUAGUUUGAAUAAUUUUGGCAGGUUCUGGGGUGACUGCGAGCAGGAGGAUGGUGUGCUGAACUGCAGGUGCCUGAUAAAAGGAGGUGGGUGGGAGUAUAGACUCAGGAUGGGUUGGUUUGCAUAUGAGAGAUGUGCUUACAGGCAAGUUGCUUAGUAUCUCCAGGAAUUAGCUAAUCCUGGGGGGGGGGCAGUUCCUCCUUAGUCCACAAGGCCCCAAGAUGUCAAAGCAUCAUAAAAUAUACAAAAUAAAAAACACGACUAAUACAUAAUAGACACAUAUUUAAAAAAAAUAAGGCACUGGGUUCUAAGUAAAUCAAAUCAACUAAAUAAUUACAAGGACACAGAUUUACUAACAUUCACUAGACACAGUUAAUGUCUCAUUACUCUACACCAUGAAGGUCAUUUUGAUCACUGCACAUUUCUACCAGAAUUAUUUGCUUAAAUAUGUCCAUCAGGUUGUUCAAGAUUAAAAUAAAGGCUUGGGUAUUUCAAAUUAUUAAAAGGAGGUUCUUGCAGAAAUGUCUAAGUACUGCAGGGUUUAGAUUAGAACUUGUAUUGAACCAUGAACCUGAAAAAUAUGCAGCCUCCGUUGGUUCUGGAAGAUAAAUGCAAUACUUUUUAACAAGUACUUCCAGUUCUCGUCCUCCUGCAAGAACAACCUUCUAAAAUACAGUCCAAUUCCUAAAACUUUUCAGGGGCUGCCCCUUGCUUAUUGCCAGCAUUUUCAAACUUCAAUCAUUUAUAGACCACCUUCCCAAUUUUUGCUAUGUCUGUGUAACACCUUUUUUUGCAUUUUCUUAAUUUUUUCUGCAGAUCAACUCACCAUGGUACUAUCUACGUUAGCUUCAUCUUAAGUAAUUUUUGUAUCUGUAUAAUUUUGAAUUUAAUGUGCUAAUUACAUAUUUUUCCCUAAUUUGUAUAAAACUAAAUACAUAACCACUAAAAAUCUUUAAAAUAUUGUUUGUGUACCAUGCCGCAACACACUGAUAACUGCCAGUGGUGCUCAUGCCACCCUGUGGGAAAUCCCAGCUGGGACGAUGGUGUUCAGUCCACUGAGCAUACAUUUCAAGACUCCUCAUGUUGUAGCCCCUGCUCCCUCCUUUCUAUCACCCUCUUCAAGUGUUCAGACAUCAGUCAUGAUGACUGAGCUUAAUUCCCUGACGAUGCUGUGCUUUGUCUUGCUUCCACACCUGCCUGAACAGGUUCUGCACCUUUAACACUGCCUUCCCCCACCUUUGAUGGGCCCUUAAGCUGCCUCUAAAAAUCCCCACUAGCUCUGUGCGAGGGCUUCUCUCCAGGCUCCUUCCUACUCACAGCCCCAAACCCGUGCUGCCUCCACUUUCUGCUUCUGUCCCGCUGGAGCCUGCCAUUCUACUUGGUCCCGUUAGGAUGGUAUGUGGGUAUUCUUUUCCACUAGGUUUAAUUCUGCCUUCAUUCCUCAAUGCCGCCUUGGGGGUCUCCUUCACACUUUGUACCCCUGGGCCAAUCCUGUCCCACUCCACUCAAUUUUUCAUCCUAGGUUCCUAGAACCCCAAUCGGAGUACAACAUUGCAGACUCCCCAUUCACCCAAGGGGAAUACAAGGCUUCUCCAGGGCUGUUCCUUCUGCCUGGAAUGCUCUUCCUCUCCUUAGUCUUCUGGUAUGCUCCUCCUGAGCUCAAAAAACUCAGUUCCAGUAUUACUACUUCCUAGGAGCUUCCUUGCCCUCCCUAGGCAGAAUUACAUUUUUCCUGUUCUCUUGUCUCAUAGAAGUUACUUUAAUUGCUGUAAUUAUUAGUCCAAUAUCUGUCUCUUCUGCUUGUUUGAGGAGGUACAAGACUGGGCAUAUAUUUAGUUAUCUUUCUUUCCCCAGCGCUUUACACAAUGCACAGUACAUGGACAGUGCCAAAAUGAUGUUUACUGAAUGCAUGAAUAAGUUAAUAAACUGGAAAUGUAUUAAUAUAUACCUUGGAACAAUUUUGAAAUUUAGUUCCUGGAUAUGAUACAAGAAUGGGAAGAGAAAUGUUCCUAUGAUAAAAUAACGUGAGGAAUAAUUGUCAUUGAGCGUCCCCCAGUCCCUGACUCCUCACCCCCUCAUCCCACUCCUGGGCACAGGAGACCCAUGGGAUAGCGAGAACUUUUACUUACAAGAUGGAGCAGGAAGUGGCCUGUGACCCAGGGGUGAAAGGUCACGUUCACGCCCAAUCCCCAGAGAUCCCAUAAACUAAGUCCUGUGAAGAAUUUUGUUAGGGCUAAACACUAGGAAAAACACUGGAUAUUUACACAGUACAUUUUUCCCUCGUUUAAGCUGAAGAAAAAAAAAGUGAAAAGAGGGGGAAAAGCCAAAAUUAAAUAAGCCAGCUGGUUUAACUUCUCUUUUUACAUAUUUUCCAUUGCAAUCCUCUCUUAGUCAUAAAGUCUUUCUCAACCACUUUACUGCUUUUCACUUGGCUGAAGUUUUUCAGCUUUUUUUACGUUAAAAAAAUGCAGAAUGAAAGGUUGAGUAGAUUGUGAUUUUAUUCUCUAUUUCUCUUCUAUCCUUCCCCCUCGAACUCACACACACACACACACACACGCACACACACACAUGCUUACUAUCCAACUGUGUUUGGUUAAAAACCUGUUUCUGAUAACAGCUACCCAGAAACAGGAUCUCUGCUCUUUUUGACAAACAAAGCUCAUCUUUCUUGAGGUGCAAAAAAUAUCCCAUGUUACUCCCCAUUCCCCUUGCCUGCCAGUGUCGCACACUCCAUGUCCCCUUCUCUUUGCAGGCAGGGCUUUGGAAGAGGCAAGAAGGACAGCUGCUGAGCAACAAUAGUUCGUUACGGAGCCAGUAAAUAGACAAGGCCUCAUUUUCUUGACCUUUUCCACCCCUGCGCCUCAGAAUGAGCGUUUUGAUUCUGGGUCGUGGGGGGAAGAGAAGUAGGAGAAGGGAGGCUCCUUUUUCACUUUGUCUGCCUCUGUCCUUAAAAGUAAAAGAGAGAAGUGUUCAUUGGGAAAUUUUGCUUAGUAAUUUUGUUCCUAGUCUUAAAAAACAACCAAAAAAACACGUUGUGUUGUGUGUGUGUGUGCGUGCGCGUGCGUGUGUGCGUGUGUGUAUGUGUGUUUGGGUUUAGCAAUUCCAUUUUAAGAGGAGUUGCUCCAUAAGAGAGGCCACUCUUCCUUUCGGAGGCCAGCGACUGCUCAGGGGAGGGGAGCCUCACUGGUGUCAUUUCAGUAGGCCACUGCACGUGGACGAGCCGGCCAGGGAGGGGGCCUUUGCACAUUUGUGGCAGUUCAGCUUUUCCAAGUGGGGAAAAUAAUGUUAACUCUUUCCAAGAAUCAAGGAGGAAUCCGUCUGCCCUGUUCAGCUCUCAGACAAGGACCACCCCCUAACGCCUCUCGCCAGGUGAUCAUGAGGCAUUCCUUUCUACAAACUCUUACCAGGUUGGGAACAUUUUAUCUGCGUGGAGCUCCAACACAACCCUGGCUUGGUAGCUGCAAACCUCACUCUGGAAAUGCCGGUCACCCCAAUCCAGUGCCAUCCAGACUCCCCACAGAGCAGCCUGAUGUGGUGGAGCCUUUCUUUUUGGAAAAAGUCAGCGAGUGAGAAGUAAAUCAAAGCUUUGAGCCUCGCCUGCUAGGCUGCCCAUGUGUGUGGAGCUCAAAGCAUCUGCUUCUCUCCCUCUCCCCCUCUCUAACAAAAGAGCCACUAAUCCUGAUUCCUUUACACAAAAACAGUGUGAAACCAGCCUAGGGGCUGGAAAUAGAGUGAAUGCUGUAGGAGCAGCUGGCACAUUAAUGCCCCCAAAAGCACUAGCUGGCACCUCAUCCUGAAACCCAGUCACCCUGUCUCUGUGGGGGCUGCAGAGGGAUUCAGUUUUGCUACAACACAAUGAAGUAUAUUUUUAACAAAUAAACACAAUUUGGGCAGAGUGUAGGCAUCUUUGGCCAGUAAGUGCUUUAUGCACUGGCUGUGGACUCCCUGUAUCCCUUCCACUCUCAGUACCCCCCUCCCCCAGGGGUAAAGGCUGGGAAGAGAAGUGAACUCCCACAAAUAGAUAAAAUAAGAAAGGAAUGGCUGUGCCCCCACUUUACAAGCAAAUAUUACUUCUCCUUCUGAUUAGCCGCUGCCUAAACAACCCUCGGUAAUUUUAUUUGCAUUUUCUGAAGUCUUGAAUCUUGCCUAACAGCUAGCAAGGUGUGUAUUUAAUCACCAUUUUCUGAACUCUGUGUCUUGUCAGCUUUACCUGCCGAAUCUUCCAGGCAGGUUGGACACGGAGUUGUGAUUUUCUUUGACUGUCUUGGCGUCAGUGUCUGCUGAUUCCUUGGGUCUGGGGAUGAACAAGGUUAAGGAACACAGCCAGCUUUUCUUACUACCUCGGCCGCAUCCCAUGCUGGGAAUUCACAGCUGCUGUGUGGUUUGGGGGAGAUUUAUUGGGAAAGAGUAAGUUUUAGUUAAUUCCAACAGCUCGUGAAGUCAUAUGCGACUCUUACCCAAGGGUUCAGAUACUCUCUCCAAGGGAGAGAGAACUGUGAGGGAGAAGUGAGAAGAAUACGCUGAAAGCAGGAACAUAGCAUCAUGGAAGAGAAAGAACCUUCACGUGGGAUUCGGGCUGAAAAUAGGGAAAAUCCCAGAGAAAGAAUCCCUUCUCUUUUUCUAAAUGCUACUCCACGCUCCCCGUGCCUCAGAGCCUUUCAUAAUUGAGGUCUGAAUUGGAGUGCUUCCUGAGGCUGCCACGUGUGAUGACACUUAAUUUCAAGCAGCCAAGUCCAUUUCAACCCAGAUUUUCACACUGACAAGGUGAAUCCGAAUAAUAGCUGUAUUGAGGCUGGUUUUUGAAUGACUUGCCCAGCUGAUAUGAAUGUUACUUUUUCAAAAGAGAAUAUGCUUAAUAGUUCAGAAACAACGUUUUGUGAGCCCAGAGUUACCUCAGGAACCCAGACAAGUGCAGCUCUUGGAACACCCUGGUCUCAAAGGAUGGCUGUCUCCCAUGCUCCCUCCCAGGUCUAGCUCAAUCUGUCUCUACUGAACUAUUUCACCCGAGCCAUGCCUAAGCCCUAUCAAAAUCCAUGACCUCUUUUCAAUUCCUUGGUACCUUGGCUUCAGAGUGGAAUUUGAUUUUCUUUGUCUUCCUAGCAUCGGACCAAUCCUGCUCUGUGUUUCAUUGGUUUUGUUUCCUCCUUCAGGUCUCUGAGUUUGAAUAAUUCCCAAGGUUUGGUUCCUGGUUGUAUCACAGGAUAUUUGUGCCCGAUUAAGCCUGACUCUCCAGGCACCCAAGAUAAGGAAUUCCAGGCUUCAUGUCAAGACAGAGACAGAACAACUUCUAAAGGAAAACAGGAGGCCAUCUCCUCUCAGGCAUCCUUAGGAACUUCCCAGCAGACUUAUCAAAUCUCAUUGCCUGCUUUGUGUCCCAUGCACAUUCUUAACAGAGUUGGGAACGACCAUAUCACUGGCUUAGAUUAAUAAGGAUCCACCUUCUGGAUCCAGGCACACCUUUGAGUGAAGCUCAUGGCUGAGAGGAGGUAGGGUGACAACUGAACCAAAUGGGAAUUCAGUUAGGAGGGUCAAGGUGAGGAAUGGAUGUUGGAAACCAACAGUGUCUAUUACACUGCUUUCCUUCAUCUUCCUUGGAAACUCAUGGAGUCUCAAGAUUUCAAUUGCCUCUAUGCAGAUGAGUCCCAAGUCGUUAUCUUUGGCCAAGACCCCUCCUGAUUUCUAGCUACAUAUCCAGCAUUCAAUAUUCACAUGUUGUUACCUCUAAUUCAACUAUGUAGGUGAAAUUCGUCUUCCCUUUCCUCUCCUCCUCUUCUCUCAAACUCAGUCCUUCUCUUGACCUCCCUAUUUCUAUUUAUGGUAGCAUUUAGGCUUACUCUUCAUUAUGUCCCUUCCCCCAGUCUAUGUUAAAUUAGUCACCAAGUCCUAUAGAUUCUUCUUUGGGGAGAUAUCUCUCAUUCUUCUCUUUCCUUCCAUAAACCUAACCAGCUGCUUGGGCAGGUACCUCUUCUUUCAGUCUCUUCACACUGUAUACAGACACCAAGUAAAUCUUCCCAAACAACACUUCAAUCAUAUCAUCCCUUUACUAAAGAAAUAUUUAUUCCUAUUAUCUCAAAGUGAGGUUCCCCAGAUCGCAAGUUUACCAGUGGUGCUGAUAUCACCUGUGAACUUGUUAGAAACGCAAAUCCUUGGGCCGCACCCCAGGCUUGCUGGAUCAGACAUUUUAGUGUUGUGGCUUAGCAGAUUGUCUUUUUAACAUCUCCCCCUACCCCCACCUCUCCACUCCCAGGUCACAGGAUGUCAACUCAAGUUUUAGAAGCACUGAAUUUAGGUGUUCUGUUCCACAAAAAAUGAUUUUUCGGACGAUGAAUAAAAUGGAAACUUGACCUUUUCUUGGCUCUAUGUCUCUGAUGAUAUUUCCUCCAAGAAUUACAGUGGUGGUAGUCCAGUUGAUAUCCUAUUUUUAAUAAUGACUCUCUUCCUAUAUGAAGAUCGAAGAAACAAAUCUGAGUAUUGGGUGUGUAUGGUUUGCAUUUUGCUUGGUUUAUUCAACCUGAUAAAAAUAUAGGCAUAGUUUUCAAAGAAACUUAUUCCAGUCCCAGUUGUUUUGAGUGGAAGAUAAAUAGAAAGGAAUAGUUUUGUUUUUUUUCUUCCAUUUCCUCCCUAAAGCACACACCUAUGGCUCCAGGAAACAGAUGCACAAAAUGACGUGAUAGUUUUUGUAAGGCAGAAGACGCAAUCAGACUGAGAUGUGGAGUUUGACUAUAGUCAACGUUAUAAUUGCUAUUUCUCUAUAUUGAGAUAUAUACAUAUUAACUAAAAACAACAAAGCCAAGACAACUCCAUUCUCUCUGAAUAAAGGAGAACGAGACCAUUAUAAUCCCAGGUCCCCUGGUGAUGACUUAAAUUUUCAAAAUUACAUUUGACAACACAUAGAUAUUCAUGCAGGGAGAAAAAAGAAAGAAAGAAAGAAAAGGUAUCAUUUCAGAUAAUUGGAAGGUGCUGAAAUCAUGGAGCAUGACGGGAAUGGCAUUAUUCCCAGGAAUGUUGCUUUAGAACUAAUCAAGGAUCUGGUUGAAGAAUUUGUUUUUCACUAUCAUUUCAAUGCCUUUCUGUCACCACAAAGCUAAUGUUGUUGCCAGCAGAGCCUCUAAGUGACAGGAUUCUAGCACUUGUUGUAUUUGAGGCUAUUUUAUAAACUGGUGUGUUGGCCUUUUGUAGUUGUACUGAAAGCUUUAAAAAAAAAAAAAGAAGUAAGGGGCAAAGCUUUAAAUUCUCUAUUCAAGUCAUGGUUAAUAAACCAUGCCAUUUCAAUGAUUGCCUUGUCUUAUCUCUAGCCAGCAAAUAGCAGUGGCAGAGGCUGAUCCAGUGGGUUGCUGAAUUACAAUGUAGGUUGAAUUCACAGCUUCAUCAAAUCUUCAAAGUAAAAGUAAGGAAUAAAAAAAAUUGAGAUAAUUUACAUUUUUUGUGCUAAGUUUUCAAAGCAUGAUAUGUAUUUCACACCUCCAUCACAGCUCAAUUGAGACAAACCACAUUCAAAUGCUCAGCAGCCACCUGUGGCUGGUGACUACCAUAUUGGACAGCACAGAUCUGGGCCAUAAAGCCAAGCAGGCCAAUUAGCACCCAUCAGUGAGCUGAUUUAAUUGGUUUAAGAAGAUCUCAAAGGCCUCUUUACUCUGGAGAGUGAGCAGGUGAUUCACACCUCCAAGAUCCCUACUCGUCCCCCAGCACUACCUCAACCCACUUCUAAGGACUCACCAAGGACUCUCCAUGACAAGUUGGGUGGUGGAGAAGAAGAAAAUACCGAGUCUGGUUUCCAGAUGGCUCGACCCACUAUGGGCUGAUGGCAGCUGGAAGGGGAAAAUGGGAAAGGGAAGCUCAUUGGGAAGAAUUGUAGCGAUACAUCUGAUUUCCUACUUUCCCUGAAAGGAAACAUGUCACUUGAGGACCAAUAACUGGUAAAAUUCAGUAUACCAGUAUGUGUUGCCUGAUCUAUAAGCAAGAGAUGGCCUCAGGCUGGGGUUAGCCAAUCUGAAGAAGAGAUAAAGAGCAAUGCUGCAUCAGUCAGGUAGGUGUUCUGUGCCUGAAGUCUGUGUUUCAGGUCUUUUAAAGUCCAGUAAUUUGGCAUUUUGUUGGGGUGGAAGUCAACUACUUCUACACUCCAGGCUGAAGCAGGUUAGAUAGUAGCAUCCUGAGUAGGAGAUCGCCACACUAAGGUGAUGGGCCACUGGCAGGGUGGGGUUCAGGUUGUUGUCUUCUCACUUGAGAACUUAGGAAUGACAGCACAAAUAGGUGAAAGAGUCUCCAGACUUAAAGACUAUGUCUAGAUAAGACAUUUGACUGUGGUUUCCUGUAUAGAAAUUUAGCAACAACAAAUAGAUGGGAAGUCUACUAAGUUUUUGAGAGAACUGUACAGCCAAAGAAACCCCAAGCCUAUCUGAAACAGCUUGUGCCUAUAAAACCCCUUAAAUAAAUUUCUAGGCCCUGAAAUCCAUACCACCUGGAAGUGGGCUGCUGAAGCUAAGUAACCCUAAGUGUUAUGGACUGAAUAUUUGUGAAAUCUCAAAUUUAUAUGUUGAAACCCUAAUAUUCAAUGUGAUGGUAUUUGAGAUGGGGCCUUUGGGAGGUCAUUGGAUUUAGAUGAGGUCAUGAGGGAAGAGCUUCCGUGAUGGGAUUAGUGUCCUUAUAAGAAGAGGAGGAGACCAGAGCGCUCUCUAUCUCUCCCCGCCUUCUCUGUCUCUCCCCUUUCUCUAUCUCUUUCCCCCUCUCUCCUCCCUGCUUCUUCCCCUUUCUCUCUCCCACUCCCCACCAUGUCAAAACGCUGCUAGAAGGAGGCCAUCUGUAAGCCAGGAAGGGUCCUCACCAGAAACUGACCAUGCUGGCAUCUUGAUCUUGGACUUCCCAGCCUCCAGAAAUGUGAGAAAUCAAUGUCUCUUGUUUAAAUCACCUAUUCCAUGGUGUUUUAUUAUGGCAGCCCUAGCUAAGACACCAAGGAAAGAAAUACUCUACAAUGUCUACCUCAGCUGUGGUGUGAGAGAUAAUGGACAAGGAAGACCAUCCUAGAGUAGCCUGUGUUGGGGUCACAAAGGACAAUGGACAAGGAAACUCUCCCGGGGAUUAGAACCAUGGCCUGUCAGCUGGGUCAACAAUAAACCUCCCCGUUGCCAUAGUCCUGUUGUGGGUGUGCUGCUUCUACCUUGCAGAAUUUGAUCACUGCUGGGGAACUGUAACAGCUGUGUGUUUCCUUUUUCUUCCUCCUGAAAAGAGAGUUUUUAAAAUGGAAGUUUCGCUCUUCUCUUCACUACCAUUUUAUAUUUGGUUUAAUGGGAAUAAUAAGUCAUCUUUUGUCUCAUAGCAGCCACAUUAGAACCCAACAGAAAGGAAUGCACACAGAGAAUCUAGGCUUUGAGCUAGAUGUAGUAAACACAAGAAAUUUGUUUCAGGCAUGGGAAUGAGUACAUAUAUAUGUUUGGGGAGCUGAGAGGAUGGAGUCCCCUACUUGCUUCCCAAUAGCCAUUCUCUGUUUCUUCAGUAACAGAACCCUGGACCAUGGACAAACUGAACGGUGUAGGAUAGGAACAAACCCUGUAGAAAUUACUGAGUUUGAAAUAGUUAUUCACAUACUGUUGAGAUCAUACUUGUCUUUCUUUUCAGUGAAUGAUGGCUACAAAAUUGUUCAAGGGAAAAUGGUAGUAACAGUAGAAUGGGCUUUUUAAUUAAUCAAUCAGCUGGCACCAAAUUUUGUGGAAAACCCAGUGAGGCUUCUAAACGUCCAGUAGCAUCUGAUCAAUUGUUUGUCACAUCUGUAAAUGCUCUAACCCUCACUUCUGUCAACAGAAAUAUUUGUAAUGAGUAUUCUUCAAUCGUGAGAUGUUUGGCUCCACUGCACAUCACAGAUGGAAUCUGGGUAUAGAUUGGGGUUACUCCAGUUAACAGGAUUUCAGAAUGAUUCUGAUUCAGUGUUGAUAUUAGAAAGAGAUUGGUUUUCGGUUCUGUUUUGGGUCCUCAAAUCAUACACACUGAGAUAUUUAGGGAACUUUGUGAAUAUUCUUAUCCCCAUAAUGUUCAUGUAAUAUUGGCAUAAUUCAGUAGAAAAUAUAUCUCUUUGCCACCUUUUAAAUUAUUCUCAAGACAACGCAACAUUGAAGCAUAGCAGAUCGUUUUAAAGACAGUACUCUCUCCCUGUUUAUUGCAAGAAUCUACUACUAAUCUCAGGUAAGCAGGCUGUUGUCAUAAAAAUGGAAUGUGAAAACAUCCACAUAGAUGGUCUACUUUGAAUUUUCUUAAUUUUAAACGUUAGAUUUGCAACACACUGAAUGAAAAGCCGACUUCAUCAAAGAAGUAGAAUUUCUCUUUUAUUUCUUACCUAGCUACUCAUUUCAGAAGCCUGUUUUUUCCAGGAAAUUCCUGCGCUGAGUCUAGGGUUCAAUCUUACACACAUACUUUCCAGCAUAUGAUCCUAAAUAAGCUGCGGAAUGAUAAGAUGAACAAAAGCAACACCAGAGGGUUGCUUUUCUUGCUUUCUCUUCUUUUCAAAAAGGAACAAUAGGUUUAUUGUGCAGGCCUCCAAAUCACAAAGUAGCUUACGAAAACUGCAGGUUCGAAGGUAGUUGAUGUUUCACUGUAGUUUAAAAGCUCUUUCCAAGCUUAGACUAACACGUCGAUAGUUGAAAACUAUCUGGACAUGUUAUAUGUUCUGGAUGUUAAUCUGAGGCUUUCAAGAGGACCUAUACCUUUAGACCUUCACAUUAGCCAACUGGCCUUAAAUCCCUCCUAGAAGAAGGCAGGGUAGAAAUCAGCCCAUUGGUUAAAUUAAAUCAAAUUAAUACAGUUGAUCCACAUUUGUUGAGACAGCUUUGAAUCUAGAGUAUCUGUUCCUCUUAUCUACUGAGCCUCAUUAAAGAUGCAACUGCCCAAAGCAACUUUAUGAGUGAUAUACCCUGAAAUGAUACAAAUUAAAUGAUUUCUUAGGGCAAUGUGAAAGAGCUUCCAGAUAAUUUUACAAUGUAAUGAGUCAAAAGCACUAACUUCAUUUUGCCGCUGUCUUUUUCUGUGUAAAAAGAUGGAAUUUGUUUUUUUCUGGAGAGAGAGUUACCAUACGAUGGUUUGCUUACAUUUUAUUUUCAUGUGAACAUAAACAUCUCCCAACCUCAGAAUUUCACAUAGAUGUCAGACGAAGGAAGGCUCUGCUAUGAAAACUAAUGUUUGCCGUCAAAUAAACUACCAGAGCCAUUGGCCACUGUGAAUGAUGAUGGGUUUUCUGGGACUUACACCAUUUUAGUGCCCACUGAGGAUAAAUUUUGGGCACUUCCAGUACAUGGAUAAACUGGGGAUAUACAGUUGUCCUGAGCACUGAAUCGACUAUGGUGUUUUUCCAGGGAGUUUGUUCAAAAUGAGUCUUCAAGGCUUCAAACCAUUGGGCCCAGAUCUCAUAUGCUUAUGAGACCUCAUGUGUUUUAUAAGAAGAUAUAACCAAACUGCAUGUUGUCUUUUUUCCUCCCCUGCUUCCUUUUAAAUCUCUUUUGCGUUACUUCUUUUAGUUUGUUCCCUUGCUUUAAAAUUUAUAUGAACCAUCGUCUUAGAAUAUUAUUUUAAAUUUCAAAGGAGGCCUUGGAUUUGAAAACAGUUUUUUAAUUUCCCCCACAUUUGGUCUGGGUGGUGAUUGUACUAAAUCAGCCUUUUACGGAAACACUAUCAUUAAAAACUUCUCAUGGUCUCUAGGGACAGGAUUUGGAAGCACAACACAAGCCUUUCUGAUUAGGGCUCUGGGAACUCCCACUUUGUUUGCAAUGGUUUUGUUUUGUUUUUGAUUUAUAAUAACUUCCAGCGAAUGGUCCUGUUUUAGAGCUAUUUAAAGAAAUUCUAAACUAAAAUUGUAAAGGAACUGGAUGAAAAACAUUAACAAAAAACAUUAACACAAUAAAUAAAUUUGUGUCCCCACCCCCAGCAGUGCACAAUCCUUCAAACCUUCCUCCUUAUUUUUACCCUUUUCUUUGAUUUGACUUGCUGCCGCCCUUAGCCUCCCUCCUCACCCUCAGGGGGCCUGGCCAUUUCUCUGGGCUUUAGAGGCUUGUAGCUGCUUCCUUUCAUUCUUUCUCCUGUAAUCCUCCAAGCUCUCGGUUCUGUUUCACCCUCCCACUAACUUUUCUUGUUUUCCAUUGCCUGAUCUUCCUGCGGGCCGCUCCACCAUCUUUCUCUUCAUUUCCUUUACCCUGAAGCUCAGAGGCCUCUUUUCCUUGCCUUCCAGUUCAUUCUGCUACUAAUCAGAAGCCACCUCUUAAUCUUGGAGGCUUUCUUUUUGUUUUUCUUUUUUUUUCAGAAAUCAAUUCAAAUCUGGACUGAUGGUUUUGUGGAACUCUCAGAGCAGGAGUUUCCUGACCUAGCGAAGCAAACAACAGAGCAUAGCAUCCUAGGUUUCAGAAGGAAUUGUUCUGGCUUAAGGAGGAUAACUAAACAUGCCUCUCCCCACUACAAGCUAUGAAAAAUAGAUAGGGGAGGCAGAUGGGAGCUCAAAAUAUGAGCUAUUGAUAAAUAUUGAUACUUAUUGAUAAAGCUGGACUAGAGACCCUGGCUUGACCCGUGGUCAGAACCAAGCUUCCACCUUAAACUGUCCCAUCUGGUCACUGGCAGAGCAGCCAGGCAACCAAAUAUUGAGAACCCUCCCCAGGUACCUCACAGCAUGGAGGAGGGACAAAUGUGAGGCUGCUGAGAGCUCUCGUGUUUCAACCUUGGCGAUGCCCCUCUCAUACUGUUCCCUCCAGGAACAUUAUGCAAAUGCAAGUACACAGCUAAUGCUGAUGCUCAGCCCCUAAUUUUAGCCAUUAGAUCAAAUCAUGUGUAAGAAUUAAUUUAAAUUAACCUAUCCCUUUACCUAAGCCAUCAAUACAAUUUUAUAAAAUUCUGACUGAACACUCGGUAACUUUAUGAGCACCAAGGAUGCAAAAGUGAAUUGGGCACAGACAACUUAGGCCAACAUGGUACAGAUUCAGGAAAGUUAUACAUAAUUGUAUGCAAAAAUAUUGUCUAGGAGUCCCGUAUGAAAAAUCCUCACGGAGAAAGCGAUCUUUGUUUGGUAAGUGCUUUUAUAAAUUCAUUUAGGCAGAAUAGACGGGUUUUGUAAAGCUUGAAACAUAUAGAAUUUGGAGGGCCCUUUCUGAUAGAAUAUAAAAUUAUGAAUUUAAAAUCAGGUUCAAAAGUUAAUGUCUAGGAUGAGAAUAGAAAUCACAAAAGAAUUCCUAAGGCCUUGGAGAUACAGGUCCCUUGCUUCUGAGAUCUUUUGAGGCAUUUUCUCAGAAAUGCUCCACAUUUGCCCCUUGGUUUCUUGCUCCACCUGGAACACUCUACAGCUCCCAGUGACUCCCAGAACUCAGAAGGAGUGUGCAAGUGGUGCCUGAAACUUAAGUGUCAAUGGCUUCAGGGUCAAUCUGCUAUAGGGUAAAUUUCCAGAGUUUGAGUGUGAUUGGACCAUAUCUUUGAAUAGUGGGGGGAUAACUUUGCAAAAAUGAGAGGGGCAUGGAAGAACUCUAUACCAUACAGUGUACCAUGAUGGCCUCCCAUACCCCCACCAAUCUUCAGGAAAAACUACCAACAUCACUUUAGGCCCCUUGUGUUUGUGUUUGUGUUUCUUAUGAAAAUGGGUGAAAAAUUACUUCGGCGUCUUGGUUGGUGUGGGAUCAAAACGGAGCCGAGAAGUGAAUAAACAUGUAAAUUAUCUACGUUGCAGUAUCUUCGAUGCCAUGAUAGAUUUUUAUUGGAACUAUGCUUAUAAUAUAUAACAGUAUAUACACCAAACCCUUACAAAAUAUAACACACACUCAUAUAUUGUAAGGAUAUUUACAUUUGCAUCUGGUACUAGAUUAAUUUAUGCCAUAUCUCAAACUGAAAAUAUCUAAAAUCAUUAAUUUUUUUCCUGAAGGUUUCUCAUGUAUUUCAGACCUCAGUUAAUGUCACUUACAUCCAUGCCAUCCCUCCAAACCAGAAUCCAAAGUCACCAAGUCUUGUCUGUUGCACUAACGAUGUAAGAUUUGUUCCCCUCUUCCCUGUCUUGACCAGUGGGUGCCCUUUUAAAGAGCCCUGCUGUCUCCUAAGAUGAUGAAGGCUGCCAUGGUAGACAGAAUAGUGCCCCGCCCCCACCAAAGAUGUCUACAUCCUAGUCCCUGGAACCUGCUUUCUUCUUUUCUUUGUGUUGAUGCCGAAUUCUAGGAACCAACCUAGAACGAAGAGGUAGGUCAGUGCUACUUAGAAACCCCAGGUGGCAAGAGAAUAGGGGACGCUGAUCCACCAGAGCUGGUUUGUGGGUUUCAUAGCAUCUCAGUGGAAAACCUGUGGAGUUGGGGCACAAGCAUCUACUGCUGUGAUGGUGGUCUUGCUGGGCCGGGCCUUAGUGGUUAUUCAGCUGAGGAUGAUCCUGGUCUCUCAAAAGGCCAAGCCAUUUUCCUAAUGCUGUCGUAUUCACACCUGGAGAUGCUUCCAGUCUUAGCCACUCUGUGCCAGAACCCCUAAGCCCUGCUGUUAAGGCUUAUUACUAGUCCAGACACCCUUUCCCUAAGAAGGAGCCCUUUUUACAGCUCCUUUUACUGCCAAGAGACCUCAGUGGAUAUCAUCUCAAUGCAUUAAAGAUGUCAAAAAUCCAUUUAAUCUUCAAGGAAAAUGAAUGGGAUCACAACCUCUUUCCUUCUAAGGAGGCAAUUUGGUCCAACGUAAAACUUCUGCCCCACUCCCUUGUGAGCAGCUCUCUACACCCGGGAUAUUGGGAAGAGACAAAAGACACAAUUUCAUCUUCCCCAGAGAAAUAGAGCCCGUCCCCCUUAUCUUACAUAAUAGCCUAGAAGUAAGGACAGUAGGUUACUGGGAAGCCAAUUUUCAAUAUUGUGGGAAGAAACACUUUGUCCUCUAUAGGUUGUCACUAAAAGAACCAAACAUUACAAGAGUUAAAAAGCUAAGCGGCAUCUUCAGGAAGAGACGUAAGUGCCCUGAAAGUUCCCAUCACUCAUGUAACUUGAAGUCUGGUCAUUGCCACAGUCCCAGUGUGCCGCGGCUGUGUGGGUCUCCUCCGGCUUUCUCUGCCUUUAGAAAUGUGAAUUAGUGAAUUGCUGGAAUCACCACCGGACACACGCUCCAGUUUCUAGAGGAGAAGAUGACUGCCAGGAGCUGCAUUUGGAACGAUCUUUUGGCCACCUGAAAACUGACUGAAACUGCUAUUUCACUCACUGUUACCUUCUGCUUUUUAGAAGCGUAUCAACUGUCUGGGGUGCCUUGAUUCCAGCAAAUAUUCCCUGUUAUUCUAUUUUCUUUUUAUUUUACAGAUUUUAAAGUUUGGGCUCAAGUGACAAGGAAGAACAAAUCUAAUUUUAUAUUUUCACUAACAUCUCCCCUUGUCUUAAAUGUCUACCCCGGGCCUUCAUCUAGGCAAAAGUAAACAAAGAUACAAAGAAAUAAAAGCUUUAACAAUUUUAAAGAAAUUUAUUGAAACAUUCUGUCUUCUAGGCACUGUGCCAGGCGCUGAAAAUAUAAAAAUGAAUUAAAUCUAGUCCCUGUUCUAGAGAACUCCCAGUUUCGUGGUGGAAUAAAGCACAUCGCCACUGUUAAGUACAUAAUCACUCAGUUGAUAUCUGAGCUCCUACUUUGUGCAAGUUUCUGUAGUUUCAGAACUGAACACAACAGACAUGGAGCCUGCCCACCUGUAGCUUAGAGUCUGGCAAGCAGAGCAGCCAUGCAACUAAUUUUUGUAACUAUGAUCAAAGCAUUAUAUGGAAAUGUUUAAGAGGGCCACCACUUCAAACUUGAAGGGCAGGACAAAUAUUGGUUUGGAAAUAGUGGUGACAAUUAGGGGUGGGAGCGGGAAAGAUGGCAGAGAGAAGCACGUACAUGUACAAAAAGUCUUGAGGCUAGAACAAGUAUGAAGUGUCCUGAAAACGAAAGGCAAGCUGUUAGGGUGGAGUAAAAAGUGGGGGGAGGGGAGGACGCAUGGGUUAUGCUUUAAAACCUUAACAGUAGGUGAACUAUCUCAAGGAUAAAGAUACAUCAACAUCAAGAACUUUUUCUUACGAUAAAACAAUUGUACAUGUUUAUGUGUGUUGCUUCAGGUACUUAUUCAUCCGAUAAACACUUCCCGAAAGCUCAUUAUGUGCUAGCUCUCUGGUAGAUGCUGAGAAUAAAAAGAUGAAAAAGGCAGGGUCUUUAUACGCACAUUAAGGAACAGUUUGUAUCAGGAUGGAGGCAGAUACAAGAUAGGAUAAAAACAGAGAUGAAGAAACAAUCCUAUGUUCACGCUAUUUUAAAAAGAGGUACAAUUCUUAUGCAACUAUUCUGGGAUUUCUGGCCCAAAUCAAGUCUAAAAAUAAUAAAGGCCAGCCUGGUGGCAUAGUGCUUAAGUUCACGCACUCCAC